GCACUGAUCAGGGAGAAUAGGCAGCUAAUGCUGUAAUCCAGAACUCUCAAAAAGCUACAAGCAAGGGUUUUUAUUUGGGGUUUUAGGUAGGGCAGGGGGAGCUGAAGUUCUUGGCGCUGAAGUUCUAAAAGUCCUCGCACAGGCAUGAUUAUCUGUUGCACACGGUGGAGUUUUGGUCUGUGACAUCCAAAGUUUACAAUCAGUCAUUUUAGCUUCUCAAUGCUCGGGCAAGAGGCUUAGGCAGGCAGGAGGCUGUCAGCAAGUUUCUCUGGUAUCAGCGGUCCUCCUGCUGUUCUGCAAGACAAGCUCAGAAACCUUGGUUAUUUUGUUUCCCACAUUAAUCUUGUGGGUACAAGGCACAGUUUCACCACAAUCCAGGGAAAUUCUAACUCCAUCCUCAGUCUCAGGACCAUGGAGCCUGGUUUGGAUGGAGGGAGGGCAGCAGGUGCUCUGAGUGAGGAUGCACCUGAGCCCAGACCCUGGAUGGCCUGCAGGCCAUGCCUACCCCAGUGCCUUCAUGCCCAUGUUGGUGGGGCUUCUCAUUUAAAACAGGGCAGCUGAACUCCAGGACCCAGCAGGCCUCAGCUUCCUCUUUUCUGUUCCUGCCACCUCAACUUCCUGGUUCUACCCUGAGGGGAAGCCCACAGUGGGUUGUGAGGAAAAGAAUUCCCUUAAAGGAUAAGCUAGUUCAUCUCCAAUCAGCAGGGAUGAAUCCCUCUUCAGAGCUAGUCCUCUUGUAGGGUGCUGGGGACUCAGAGACUGUGCCUGCCCUUAGGAGCCCACAGCCCAAGGUAGAAAGUUGCAUCCUUUCCCCUAAGGACUGAGGCAGUGCCAAAAUAUGGAGAAAAAGGGGAUCCCUGCUCCCUCCUCCAGUCCUGUCCCUCACUGCAGGCUCCCACCUCCCCACCAGGGUCCUCUGGCCUCAGAGAGAGCAAGAUGUUGGCUGCUGAGGAGAGGAGGCAGGAAAGGGGAGGGAGGAAGGAAGGAGCCCGUUUGGCGUCGCGUCUCCCAUAAAAACACACUGGUGCUGCCAGCCUGGCGCUGCUGGGGUUAAUGAGGGGUGGGGUAACAGCCACUUUGAACUCUGGCCAGGCAGGCCCCUGGGAAGGGGGUGAUGGGUAGUUCAGUCAGGCCCGGGCCUCUGCCAGCCCUCUAAGGAUAUGGCCACUCCUCCCCUCACCCAGCCCCCCAGCCUCCUCCCCCUCCAUUGCACAAUACCGAUGACUCUUCUCUCCCUACCACCCUCAUUACGGGAAAUUUCAGGUUUCCUCACUAGAACUGUCCCUAGUUCUGGCCCAAGACCCCUGCAGCCAUCGCUGACACUGCGCCUUUCCCUCCUCCCCGACUGCCUGUUUCUUGGAUGCCAGUUGGAUGUAGCUAGAUAACAUCAUCGGAAAGAACUUCCCGAGCUUUUGGGGAAGGAUGAUGGGAAAGAUCACUUAGGGGGAGCCUCUCAACUUCCAACUCAAACUCUGGAGGGUCCCAACUCUGUGCAGCAGGGGUCAGGUUCUGGGGUCAGAGGAGAGAGGGUGGGCUAAGGAGAGGGACCACCACAGACACAAGGACACACACAGACUAUAAGGUAGGGGCUCCAGGGAACACUCUCCUGCUUGGCAUUCCACAGCUGGCCAGACCUUAAGCCGUUGAUUUUCCAUCCCCUUGGGUCUUAGUCUCUCCCUCCCCAAGACAGGAAUAGACUCCACUUGCCCUUUGAGUGCUGCUUGAAGCCACACGGGGUGAAAGGAGGUCCAUGAUGGCUCCUCUCUCUCCAUUCCCUCAAAGGAAUUCUGCAGCUGGUGUUUGGGAGCCUGGGUCUCCUCAUCUGAGGGGAAAAGCUAGAAGCCUAUGCUGAAGCUUCCCCGUGCACACCGACGCCUCACCAUCCAACCUCAGAGAGAAAUUAGGCUCGAAGUAGGCAUAAAGGGCAGAUUUCUCAGACAUUAAGAGCAGAGAAAGAAGCCAGCUGGCUGGUCUCAACGGGUGGGAGGAACUCAGUCAGUGACUGAGUUGAGGAAGAGGAUUCUUCGAAGGAUGGGGGGGUGGGUGCUGGAGAAGUGUCCCCCCUCUUGCUUGAGGUCAGAAAGGGCUCUUUGGGCAGGGUGCCCAGCCCUCCCACACCUUCCUCCUUUCUCAGAAGAGCCAGGAUGGGGCAGGGGUGGGAGUUGGCUGGGGCGGGGUGGGGGCCCUAUUUAAGGAGCACUCUCUGAGAGCAUCACUGCAGAUCCAGCCCCAAGAGCGAGAGGAGCCUUCACUGGUAAGUGCGACCCCCUUUCUCCCAACUCAAGCAGGGUGGGGGUAGGGUGGCUUCUGAGCCUGCCGGCUUGCCUUUCCCUCUCCAGGGAUAGGCUCUGCCUUGUGAGUGGGAACAGCACCGCAGCCCUCAGUUUAACUCUCCAGAAAGUGAAAGUGUGUUUCGGGAAAUCUUCCCUUCCACUGCCCUGCCUAUUCCAGGUACUUCAGAUUUUCCCUUCAGGUGUGGAGAUUUUCAGGGAGCUGGGACUCCUGGGCCCCUAUGUUGGGGAUCCACAUUUUUGGCGUCCCCUUUGGCUCAGGAAGCCCCUCAGCCUCUGGAGAGAUGCCCUUCUCAGUGUACAUGUUCUGGCUCUUCCCCCAGUCCUUUGCCCCUCCAGCUCGACAUCUGGCUCCACCAGGAGCACGUCUGGGCAGGAGAUGAUGGGACUAACUCCCAAGUACCUAUGGAAUCCCUACCUGAGCCCCUGAGGAGCACGUCUGGGCAGGAGAUGAUGGGACUAACUCCCAAGUACCUAUGGAAUCCCUACCUGAGCCCCUGAGCCCCCUCCCCUCAUGUCCUACAUCAAUUCCUGUUGGAAUUUAGAGAACCCUUGCCCUUUCCCUAACUGUGGGGCCCUAUUUUCAGGUCCAAGCUCAGACCCUCCCUGGGAUAGGAGGAAUCUUGGAAUCCCAGGUUCCUCAUCUGACCCAUCCUGGAAAUGGGAAAAAUUCCCAGAAGAGAGCAUGGGAGGGCAGCAUCAAGACUGAGAGAACUUUGGCCACCUGGCUCUGAGAACUGAAUUCCAUAGGCUGUGAGCUCCAGCAAAUGCCCUAGGGACUCAGUUCUGGUGCCCGGCUGUGCUACACCAUCAAUACUGAGGUCAGGGGGAAGCCGCUGGCUCAGGUUCAUAGCAUCCCAGCAAGGCGCUCCUCCAGGCACCCAUCCUGCCACUGGGCAGAUCUUUUAAUAACUGCAACUUGGGUUACUCUUCUGCUCAAAGACUUUGAUGGCUCCCCAAACCUCCUUACCUUGCCAUUAAAGUUUUUCCACUUAGAAGCCUGAUCUUCCAUUGCUCCCUGCUCGUAACCUGCCCUCCAUGCUUGUACUCAUGCUGACCCUUCCUCAAUUCUUCUGGGGACACCUCCUUCCCAUCACUAUCCGUUGGAAUCCUAUACAUCCUUCAAAGCCUCUCUCAGAUGCCUCUUCCAAGAAGCCUCUCUCAACUCCCCAGCGGUACAUAUUAUCUUCUGCAAAUCCCCCCACUCCUCUCCAGUGGGGCUCGAUUCAUGAGCCCCAUAAUAUCUAGCCCAGGGUUCUGCACAUAGUAGCUGUUCAAUAAGUUUUCCUUGCAUUUUGCUGAGUGUGUCUCAUGUAUAUGAGAGGCACUUUGGCCUAGAGGUUAAAGCUAAUCAGAUUUCCCAGUUGCAUUUUCCACGUGUGACCUUGGGUAAGUUGUUAACCUCUAUAGCCCUCAGUUUCCUCAUCUGUAAUAAUUAUAUCCACAUCAAGCUUUUGUGAACAUUAAACUAAGUGAGCUGAUAGUUUCCAUACAGGGCUUUAGCUCAGUGCCUGCACAUAGUAGGUUCUCAGUUAAGUGUGUGAGGUUGUUAUGAUUCUUAUUAUCCUCCCUUAAGUAGAAUGUGAGCUAUCCAGUUGGGAGGUAGGAUAGGACUUAAAAUUUGUCAGUCAGGGUUUAUUGAGUGAAGGGCUCCAGACCAGAUGCCAGGGUUGGGUAACACUGGGGCCAGGAGGAAGAGGCCAUCAGGAUCAGGGUUUGGUGGUCCAAGCCCUGCUGGGAUCUAGGAGCUCUGGAUUCUCACCUACUGUGUGACCUUGGGUGAGUCACUCCUUCUCUCUGGCCUUGGUUUCCAAGCAUAAUGUACAUCGAGGGGGUUGGGGCAGGUGAACAGUAAGGUCCCUGGCAGCCCAGAUGUUUUAUGAGUUCUAAGCUUCUAAGGGUUCAGUUCAAAGAAGGAAGCAUCUAGGCUCCCUGCAGGGCUCCCUUACGUCUACAGGGCCUGGAGAGCAUGCACUGGGGUUGGAAGUACGUGUGUGGCAUGCUAGGCUGGGCUGAGUGACAGCACCUUCUUCAAAAAGCCUGUAAUCAGGGGCUGCCCUCCCUCACCAGGCCUGGGGGAUAGAGGUAAACUUGUAUGCAGCCUGUGGGCAUUUCAAGGCAUAAGUGGAAGCCUUGGGGGGAGUGUCUGUGAGCAGUGCAGAAGUUGUUCAGAGAUGGGGGAAGCUGGGAGACUUCAGGGGUCUGGACUCAGAGGAUAGAGAGGGAAGGGGACACAGAACACAUCUUAUUCAGUGUGGGACUCAUGAUUUACUUGAGACCUGCCUUGUUUCCAAAAAGGAUUUGAGGAGGCUUACCAGCAUGCAGACAAUUCUCCAAGGUUAAAACAUAAAAUCGAGCCAGCCCUGAUGGCCUAGUGGGUAAAGUUUGGCACUCACCACUUUGGUGGCCCGGGUUUGCUUCCAGGUCGCAGAACCACACCACCUGUCUGUCAGUUGCCAUGCUGUGGCAGUGGCUCACGUAAAAGAACUAGAAUGAGAAUGACUUACAAGUAGGAGAUACAACCAUGCACUGGGGCUUUGGGGAGGGAAAGAAACAAAACAAAACAUAAAUUCUGUGACAUAGAUAUAUGGUACAUUUUUUUUCUUUUUCUUUUUUUUCUUAAAGAUUGGCACCCGAGCUAACAACUGUUGCCAAUCUUCUUUUUUUCUCUCCCCUGCUUUUUCUCCCCCAAUGCCCCCAGUACAUAGUUGUAUAUUUUCAGUUGUGGGUCCUCCCAGCUGUGGCAUGUGGGACGCCACCUCAACGUGGCCUGAUGAGCAGUGCCAUGUCCGCGCCCAGGAUCUGAACCCGCAAAACCCUGGGCCGCCAAAGUUGGAGUGUGCGAACUUAACCACUCGGCCACCUGGACCAGCCCCGAUAUAUAGUACAUUUAAAAUAUGUAUCCUUUUUGACCCAGAGAUUCAGUUUACUUAUUAUUACUAUUUUUAUUUAGUUAGAAAUUAUUGUAAACUUACAGAAAAGUUGCCAGAAUAGUUCAAAGAACUCUUGCUUACCAUUCUACCAGAUUGACCAACUGUUACCCUUUUGCCAUGUUGCUUUCUCUAAUCUAUAGUCCUUAUUCAAAUCUUACUACUUGUCCUAAUAAUGUCCUUUGUAACAAUUUUCAUUCUGGUCCAGAAUCCAAAACAGGAUCUUGCAUUGCAUUUAGUUUCCAUGCCUCUUUAGUCUCCUUUGACCUGAAACAAUUUCUCAGCCUCCCUUUGUCUUUUAUGACAUUCACAUUUUGAACGAUAAAGACCAGUGGGGUUAUCUCUCAAUUUAGGUUUAUCUGAUGUUUCCUCACAAUUAUGCAUUACUGCUGAAUUGAUGUUGUGCUUUUUCACUUUAACAUAUCAGAAAGUACAUGAUGUCAAUCCCUCUCUGUUAAAGAAAAAUUUUUCAAGACACUUGAUAAAGACGGUAAGCAAAACUUUAUUCAAGUGGCACUACUGCAAUGAAGUUAAAGUGUCAUGGACCAGUUUUCCCUACCACACUACUAGGUUACUAGUUUUUACUUUGUAACUAAUAAAUAUUUUAUUGGAACAUACUUUGAAACUAUUUAAAUAUCCUGUUUCUCAUCAAACUUUCACCCAUUAGUUUUAGUAUCUAUGAAUGAUUCUCACCUGAAUCAGUUAUUACAAUGAUGGUCGAGAAUGGUCAUCUUUCCAAUUUCAUUAUUCCUUUUACUGUUAGGAAGAGCUUUCCUUUCAUAUUUAUUUCUUUAGUUAAUGUGAGUAUGCACUUACGGAUCCUUAUUCUAUUCAGUAGGUUAUAAUCUGCUACUGUGAUCAUUUGUUUUGAUGCUUAAAUUGUCCUUGAUUUGAUCAGUGGAAGUCCCUUCAAGCUGGCUCCUUUAUUCUUUUGACAUUUUUGAGCUGUCCUUUAUUUUCUGGUACACGUUGUUCCAGGCUUAUCUUGUGUCUUCCCUGCUGCAGCCCUGGAAUCAGCCAUUUUUCCAAGAGGCCUGGUUUCUCUUAAUGGAGAAUGGACUUAGAACCAGAGAUCUGGGUGCUGGCUGGCUGUGCUUGUUGCUACUAGGGUGUUAUUGUUCAAUGAUUCCAUUUCUAGUUCUUAGACUUUAGAUUCUACAAUGUAACACUUGUACAUGUGAACAAAGAUCCACAUUCAAGGCCAUUUAUUUUCUCAUCACCCUGACUACUUCCAAAUAAGCCGAAGGUAUCAUCUUCUUUUGCCUAUAUUACUUUAAAAGCCUCCUAGCUGGUCUCACUAUUUCCACAAUGGCCCCUCUGCAGUCUCUUUUCCACAUAGCAUCCAGAAUAACUAAAAAAAAAAAAAAAUCUGAAUCACAUUCUCCCCUGCUCACAACCCUCCACCCCCUAAGAAUUAAACCCAAAAUUCUCAACAUGGCUUCAAGGCACCACAGGAUCUGGCUUCAUCUUUAAUCUCAUUAACUACCACUUUCCCACUCGCUCACAGGACAAGGACAUUCUAGCCACAGGGGCGUUGUACCGGCUUUUCUCCCCCAGGUAUUCAAAUGGGUUUAAAGGUCUUUAUUAGGUCCACAUUCAAGAGUUACCUCUUCAGAGAAGCCUUCUGUAACUAUCCUAUUGAAAACAGCACCCUAUCACUUACCACUACCUGACAUUACAUGUAAUGUCAGAUUGUUGUUUGCUUGUUGUCAGUCUCUAUUUCUGUACAUUAUACCUCUAAAGUAAGCUCCCUGAGGGCAGGGACUGGUGUGGUUUUCUCCUGUAGCCCCAGUGCCUAGAAUACUGCCCGCAUCUCGUGGACUCUCAAAUGACUGUUGAGUGAAUGAAGAUAACUUUCACUCCUUGGCGCUUUUGCACCCACCAUGCUCUCUGCCUGGCUUCUCCCUCACCCUUGUCUUUGCAUUCUUUAGAUCUCAGUUUAAAUGUCACCUCCUCAGAGAAGCCUUCCUUGAUUGCCUUAUUCUAAACUAAGUUUCACUAGCCCACUCGCAUUUCUAUUUCCGUCUCUUAUUCUGGCUGUAGUACUUAUAACAACUUCCCUUUAUCUAUUUGCGUGUUGCCUCAUCCUCAUGUCUCCCCACUAAAAUGCAAGCUCCAUAAGGGCAGAGACUGCCAUGGCUGUCUCAUUCUCUACCAUAUCCCCAGGGCCUACAAAAGUUCCUGGCAAAUAACAGGCACUCAAGAAAUUGUUCGGGGGCCGGCCUCAUGGCCGAGUGGUUAAUUUCAUGUGCUCCGCUUCAGCGGCCCAGGGUUUUGCAAGUUCAAAUCCUGGGCGCGGAUGUGGCACUGCUCAUCAAACCAUGCUGAGGCGGCGUCCCACAUACCACAACUAGAAUGACUCACAACUAAAAAUACACAACUAUGUACUGGGGGGCUUUGGGAGAAAAAGGAAAAAUAAAGUCUUUGAAAAAAAAAGAAAUUUGUUGGAUGUGCUUUUCAUAGCUAAAAUCUGGAAAGAAUCCAAAUGCUAUAGAAUAUUGGGUGGCUGUUAAAGAAUGAGGUAGCUGUAUGUGCACUGGCAUGGAAUGAUGUCCAAGAUACACUUAAUGUAAAAUGCAACAGGCAAAACAGUGCAAUUCCUUUUAUGUAACUAAUACUACGUGCACAGAAAAAAAAAGAGAUUGGACCCCAGGGAUCAUGUAGGGGUGAGGGAUAUUAGAAAAGAUUUUAACUUCCUAUAUUACAUAUUUCUGUAUUGCAAACUAUUUUUUUAAACAAACACUAAUAUUUGAGCACUUAGUACAUGCCAGGCACUGUGGUAAGUAUUUUGUGUGCAGGAUUUCAUGGCAUCGUCUCAAUAACCUUAUGAGAUAUGUCCUAAUACCAUUAUCCCCAUUUUCAAUGAGGAAAUUGGCUCAGGGACAUUAAGUAAUUCAUCUAAGGUCACACAGCAGACCCAUCACCCUAUAUCACCUCCUUGUGCUUUUAUACUUUAAAAAAAGGGGCUGGCCCCGUGGCCGAGUGGUUAAGUUCCUGCCCUCCACUUUGGCGGCCAGGGUUUCACAGGUUUGGAUCCUGGGUGCAGACAUGGCACUGCUCAUCAAGCCAUGCUGAGGCGGCGUCCCACAUGCCACAACUAGAAGGACCCACAACUAGAAAUAUACAACUAUGUACCAGGCAGCUUUGGGGAGAAAAAGGAAAAAUAAAAUUUUUUUAAAAAAGGAAAGGGAAAUAUGAUAACUAGGGGUAACAGUUCAGGAUCAAGACCUUACAUAAAAUAUUCUAAGCAAAUUUGGCCCUGAGUUCUCUAGAAACCAGGGCAAAGAGAAAAAUACGAUCAGUUAUGAGAUCCUUGGUGCUUCAAAGAUAAAAGAAAACCAUUCCUCAGGAGAAAGCUUUCCCAAGUUCUGAGGUUUGUGAGGACUUCUCCAGGAAGCACUGUUCAGUCAAGUGGUGGUCUACAGCUUUAAUAACAUACCUAUAUACCCAGAUAGCUGAUGGCCAGCUACAACUGGAAGUUCAGUAAAAGCAAUUCCACAAGGAGCCAAAUUUAUACAGCCUGGGCAUCAGAUCUGGCGGUCUGGAUAGACCCACAGUUAAAAUUGGAUAUGUGGCCCAACCCUCCAGCAAGCUCAUAGAAUAUUGCAAAUUCAGCCUAUUUAAGACUGUUAGCAAGAAUCAGGAGACAAAAGUGACAUUUAUCUUAAAUUUUCAACCCUAGUGAAUUUUCCUGGUAGGCUGGGUUGGUUUUACACUUCUUUAACAGAUGAAGAAACUCAGGCUCAGAGAGCCUAUUUACGUGACCAGAAAAUAUCAGAGCCAGCUCUAAAUCGAUGUCUUAGGCAUCCCUUCCUCAGCCUUGCCCACCACACAUGCUUCAACAAAAGCGUUUAUGCCCUUAGGAUCUCUCUGCGGAUGGUGGGCCGCAGUACCCAGGAGGGUGUUGUCCUACACACUUGAGGAGAGCUAGUGAGAAGGGGAACUAGGCCCAGCCAGUGAGGAGGCACACUUUUUCCAGAGGUCCAUUGUAAUCCAACCCCCCACCCCUCUUCCUGGCACAACUCCUUGUACCCCAGGCAGGGAAGUAAGGCUAACAUUACACAGAUGGGGAAAUACUUCCACCUCCAAACAUAAAAAUGAUCUUGCAGCAUACACUUGACUUCACUCAUUUAUUCACUUUUCACUACAAGGUGGGAAUAGGUGGGCCCUCAGCUCGGGGAGUUCUGGGAGCUUUGCUAGAGGAGGAGAGGAAAACGGGAAAGUGGGGCCUUAUUGCAGGGUAGGCUUCUAAGGGAAAGAAGAUGGGGAGAAGAAAGGAGAGAGGAAACACGGAUCCAGGCCCGUCUUCCAUCUCUCGUCCAGGCUUCCCAAGCGCAAGUAGAAAGAGUGACAGGACACUCACACAGACAUGUCCUUGAUCCCUUCUCGUCCUUCCCCCACCAUCCAGCAAUAACGUGAGAGAAAUCAAAGAAGUACAGGAGGCGGGCAGCGGACAGUCUUGGUAAGGAAAAAAAAAAAAAAAACAGGUGCACUGGGCUCCAACGCACAGCUGAGACCUCCCUCCUCCCGGCUGGCGGCGGCGGGCGCAGGGAGGAGAGCGGCGCGAGCGCACGCGGGCCGGCCGCCGGGCCGUGCGGCGCCCUCAGCUGAGGACUGCCCUCUUCUUCCCGCCGCAGCCGCGCUCCGCCGCUUUCCGGCCCGGGCCGCUGUCCCCGCUGCCGCUGCUGCUGCUGGCGGGCGGGCGCAGCACGGUCCUCCGCACCACGGUCCUCCGCACGCGGUCCUCGGGCUCGCGCACGCGCGGAGCCGCCUGCAGCAGGAACUCGCCGCCGCGGUAGGUGACGCGCACGUCGGUGCGCGGGUACGUGCCGUACACGCGCCGCAGCUCCCGCCGCACAAAGUCGGGCAGCUCCAGGCGCGGACCCAGCGCACGCACCACGUGGCCCCAGCGCAGCUCAGCCUGUAGGCGGCCGCCCUCCGGCCACGGCGCCGCGCUCUCGGCCGCCGCCAUCCCUGCCGCUGCGGGCGCCUGAGGCGACGGCCCCAGGUAGCCGGGGGCGGCGUAGGCCUGCGGGAAGACCCACAAGGGCGGCACGGCCCCCAGGGGCGCACCCGGGCCGUGGAAGCAGUGGUAUUCCCGCGGGGCGCCCCACUCCCCCGCUCUCAGGCUCCGGGGCCGGCUGCAGAAGUUGUGGGCCUGGAUGGGGGGCAGCAGCAGAGGGGCCGGCAGGUAGGUGUAGGUGAGGGGCUGCAGCGGAGGCCAGAUGCCGUCCCCGGGCGCCAGGCAGCUGAACGAGUACAUGGUCUGAAGCUCAGGCGGCGGGCAUUUUUACUGCGGCCUGGGCCUGGUCCACACCUGUGGUGGGGGUGUGUGUGGAUACACUUUGUUCUUACCUCCGCCAUGCGUCCUUGCCGCCUGCUAACCCAGGGCUCCGGGUCACAGCAGGAGCCCGUGCGCUGCCUAGUGGCUUUGGGGAACUCCCCUUUAGGUGUUCAGCUCCCACCUUACCUGUUGUCCCAAGGCUGGGCCCGAACCCCAGGCUCCCAGCAGGCAAUGAGGACCCAAGGCUUUUUCAAGCCCUCAGCCCUGAAAUGCUCCUCCCAGGUAGCUCCCCGCUCGCUUGUCUCCUUCAGCCCCGAGAAACUGGUCCCCAACAUUUGGGGGAGCCGGAGAGGUCCAGAGCAGGAUUCCCCUCCACCACUUUUUAGUUGAACUCCCCUCCAUGGCCUGCCUCAGCCACACCUCCCGGUUUCCAGGCAAAGGGAAACACCUUGAGCUGGCCAGGAGCCAGCCAGCCUUUGUCUACAUUGGAUGAGCCUGCUGGCUCCAAGCUAGACGCUGAGGCCUUUACUCAUGGUUGGCUUCACCACAACUUGCCCACAUUCACCCAGCCAGUUACGGUAAGGCAAAAUUCAACCCCAUGUCUGUCUCAAGACAUUAGCCUUAUCAUGAAUUCAUGCUGGGGCUUCUUUCAGACUCUCGCACAGUCCUGCUCUAUAACUGUUAUGUAAGAACUUCUGAUUCUUAACUGUGAAGAACAUGUGAUAUUCUCAUUUGAUAAGGAACCAGAGACUCAGAGAUGUUAGGCCAUUUUCCCAGGGUCACACAGUCUGUAAAUAGUGCAGUGGUAUUUGAACUCAGUCCAACUGAUUCCAAAUCCCAGAAGCUACUUGGAGCAAAGAAAGAUUACUUCAUCCAGACGGGGAGCCCUGUCUGAGCUCCAGGCCCUUGCUGCAGCGCACAACCCUCCACCUCUCUCCUUCCCAGUGGGGUGGGUGGUAGUUGCUGGAUGAUGAAAACCGAUAUUGUCUCCCAGCUGCUGGGCUGCCAGGCCAUCAGACUUUCCUUCCCCCUCUUCUGCGGACUCAAGCAGCAUUACCUGUCACCUCCACAGGUUCUCCCAGGUUCUCCGCAUCCCUUAAAGCCCAGGUACCCUCUGGUAACGUCUUUGACACUCACCUUGGUGAUGUGACAUUUAUUUAUUCCCAACUGAGCUACUCUCCCAAGUCUAACUUGGGCCAGUGACCUAGUUGAGGGCAGCUGCUAGGACUGGGCUAGCGUAUCUACCUAACACUCCCUACCCCACAGUUCCAAGAAGGGAGCCUCACCCUCUGUCCACUCUAAGAACUGGUCCCAGGACACAGUGGCCUUUGUUGGGGGAGGCCUCCUGUGGUAGGCAGAAAAACGUGUGCCCUCCCACUCCUAAGAUGUGCACGGCCUAAUCCCUGGGAACCUGUGAAUACGUUGUUACAUGGCAAGAGGGAAUUAAGUUUGCAGAUGGCAUUAAGGUUGUUAAGUAGCUGACCUUAAAAUAAGAUGAUCCUGUGUUAUCCGGUUAGAUCCAAUGUAAUCACAAGAGUCUUUAAAUGUCGAAGAGGGAGGCCAAAGAGUCGGAGUGAUGUAACAUGAGCGUUGACCAGCCAUUGCUGGCUUUGAAGAUGGAAGAGGGGCGCGAGCUGAGGAGUGCAGGCAGCCUCUAGAAGCUGGAAAAGGGGAAAAAAUGGAUUCUUCCCUGGAGCCUCCAGAAAGGAACGCAGUCCUGCCAACACUUUAAUUUUCGCCAGUGAGACCCAUUUCAGACUUCUGACCUCCACAACUGUAAGAUAAUAAAUUUGUAUUGUUUUAAGCCACUAGGUUUGUGGUAAUUUGUUACAGCACCAAUACGAAAUCCAUACAGCACCUCUCCACUCCUAUUUAUAACUUUGCCCUUCCCCCCAAAUCCCAACACCUGAGCAGUGUCCAAGCCUACCUAUAGACUGACCUCAACCCAGCCUGGAGCUCAAUAAUGGGCCCCUUGGGACUGGCCAGUUUCUCCACCUGUUCCUGCUCUCCCAGGUGGAUCUGGUCACACCUAGGUGGGAGGUGGGGAGGGUGUGAGACCAAGAUGGAACCUGGGAGGGUGAGAAACCUGUAUUUUCAUAUUUGACCCUACAUGCUUGCUGAAGACCUUUGCUGGUCUGGGGAGGAAGUCUGGCAAAAAGAGAAAAAUAAGGCCCAAGCUGUGAGUUUCUCCACAUUAGUUCAUCCUUGAUUCUAGUUAUAGUCCCCAGAUUUUUGGGGUCCCACAGCUUAUUCUCAGUAAAGUGAUCCUGGGGGAGUUGGCUCUAUUUUAUCACUAAUUAGUCAAUGAUUUAGGGCUAAACCAAUCAGCACUGUCAUCCCUCAGGCCGUUGUGAUUGCUUUGGGGUAGCCAUGUGACUCAAUUUGGGCUAACGGGAGCCAAGCCCAGGACUUUGUUCUCUUGUUGGGUGGAGAGGGAAGUGCUCUUUUCCUCCAGGACAGAAGUCUGAAAGAAAGCAUUCUGGAUUGAGAGGUGAAGGCCUGACUGAGCAUGGAGCCACAGAAGAAGUGGAGCCAGGGGACAGAGAGAGAAAUUGGGUCCUGAUUACAUCGUUUGAGUCCUGGACUUUAAAGUUACAC
rnacentral:lncRNA from 1 species